rnacentral:rRNA from 1 species
ACAUGCAGUCGAGCGGCAGCGGAAGUAGCUUGCUACUUUGCCGGCGAGCGGCGGACGGGUGAGUAAUGUCUGGGAAACUGCCUGAUGGAGGGGGAUAACUACUGGAAACGGUAGCUAAUACCGCAUAACGUCGCAAGACCAAAGAGGGGGACCUUCGGGCCUCUUGCCAUCAGAUGUGCCCAGAUGGGAUUAGCUAGUAGGUGGGGUAACGGCUCACCUAGGCGACGAUCCCUAGCUGGUCUGAGAGGAUGACCAGCCACACUGGAACUGAGACACGGUCCAGACUCCUACGGGAGGCAGCAGUGGGGAAUAUUGCACAAUGGGCGCAAGCCUGAUGCAGCCAUGCCGCGUGUAUGAAGAAGGCCUUCGGGUUGUAAAGUACUUUCAGCGGGGAGGAAGGUGCUGAGGUUAAUAACCUCAGCAAUUGACGUUACCCGCAGAAGAAGCACCGGCUAACUCCGUGCCAGCAGCCGCGGUAAUACGGAGGGUGCAAGCGUUAAUCGGAAUUACUGGGCGUAAAGCGCACGCAGGCGGUCUGUCAAGUCGGAUGUGAAAUCCCCGGGCUCAACCUGGGAACUGCAUUCGAAACUGGCAGGCUAGAGUCUUGUAGAGGGGGGUAGAAUUCCAGGUGUAGCGGUGAAAUGCGUAGAGAUCUGGAGG